rnacentral:rRNA from 1 species
UACGUAGGGUGCGAGCGUUGUCCGGAAUUAUUGGGCGUAAAGAGCUCGUAGGCGGUGUGUCACGUCGGCCGUGAAAACCUGCAGCUUAACUGUGGGCGUGCGGUCGAUACGGGCAUCACUGGAGUUCGGCAGGGGAGACUGGAAUUCCUGGUGUAGCGGUGAAAUGCGCAGAUAUCUGGAGGAAUACCGGUGGCGAAGGCGGCAUCCUGGACCGACAUUGACGCUGAGGAGCGAAAGCUAGGGGAGCAAACGGG